rnacentral:rRNA from 1 species
UACGAAGGGGGCUAGCGUUGUUCGGAAUUACUGGGCGUAAAGCGAGUGUAGGUGGUUUUCCAAGUUGGAUGUGACAGCCUUGGGCUUAACCCAAGAAAUGCAUUCAGGACUGGAAGACUAGAGGACCGGAGAGGAUAGUGGAAUUCCCAGUGUAGUGGUGAAAUACGUAGAGAUUGGGAAGAACACCAGUGGCGAAGGCGGCUAUCUGGACGGUUUCUGACACUAAGACUCGAAAGCGUGGGGAGCGAACAGG